GACGAACGCUGGCGGCGUGCCUAAUACAUGCAAGUCGAGCGAAGUUUUUCUGGUGCUUGCACUAGAAAAACUUAGCGGCGAACGGGUGAGUAACACGUAAAGAACCUGCCUCAUAGACUGGGACAACUAUUGGAAACGAUAGCUAAUACCGGAUAACAGUAUUUCUCGCAUGAGAAAUAUUUAAAAGUUGGUUAUGCUAACACUAUGAGAUGGCUUUGCGGUGCAUUAGCUAGUUGGUGGGGUAAGGGCCCACCAAGGCGACGAUGCAUAGCCGACCUGAGAGGGUGAUCGGCCACACUGGGACUGAGACACGGCCCAGACUCCUACGGGAGGCAGCAGUAGGGAAUCUUCCGCAAUGGGCGAAAGCCUGACGGAGCAACGCCGCGUGAGUGAAGAAGGAUUUCGGUUCGUAAAGCUCUGUUGUUAGGGAAGAAUGGAUAUGUAGUAACUAUACAUGUAAGAGACGGUACCUAACCAGAAAGCCACGGCUAACUACGUG
rnacentral:rRNA from 1 species